rnacentral:misc_RNA from 1 species
GGGGUUGCAAAGUUUUGUGCUCGUUGUUUUAAAUUAAGUUUUAAGGUCCUUAUUGGAAUAAAUUAUGUAACCUGGGUAUUAUGUGGUAACCGCUGCUUGGCUGUUUUUCUAAGUAACCAGCACCAGUCAGAGAGAAUGAGUGAAAGUGUAGACAUGACGUUCAUUCCAUAAAUGGACGUGAUUAUCAUUCUACACGUUUAACUUUGAUUCUACGAUGUACGUUAUGGCCUCUUAAGUGUUCUACAAUGUAUUAGCUUAGCAAGUAUUAUUAAAGGAACUGUGAACCUA